rnacentral:rRNA from 1 species
UACAGAGGGGGCAAGCGUUGUUCGGAAUUACUGGGCGUAAAGGCGCGUAGGCGGCCUGCUAAGUCGAACGUGAAAUCCCCGGGCUCAAACCCGGGAACUGCGUCCGAUACUGGUUGGCUUGAAUCCGGGAGAGGGAUGUGGAAUUCCAGGUGUAGCGGUGAAAUGACGUAGAUAUCUGGAGGAACACCGGUGGCGAAGGCGGCAUCCUGGACCGGUAUUGACGCUGAGGCGCGGAAAAGCGUGGGGGAGCGAACAGG